UGUGAGAGACUCCAAAAAUUAUUGGGAGCCUUUGUUUAUUUUUAAAAUCUCUAGAAUAAAUUUUUAUAAGUACAAUCAUCUAAUUAAAUCUUUAUUCUCUAUAGAUUAUUCUUCAGCUUCCAAUCCUCUAGUUUGAAAUCGGAUAUCAACCACUUAAGUGAAAUCAAUUAUAUAUUCUGGCUCAGAAACUUAAGAAUAGUUCUGGACCUUUAG
rnacentral:lncRNA from 1 species